GAUGAACGCUGGCGGCGUGCCUAAUACAUGCAAGUCGAGCGAACAGACGCUGCGCUUGCUCUUCUCACGUUAGCGGCGGACGGGUGAGUAACACGUGGAUAACCCAGCUCUACGAGUUAGAUAACUUCGAGAGACCGUAGCUAAUACCAGAUACUAUAUUGAACCGGAUGGUUCGAUAGUUAAUGCCGUUUUUGAUGUCCCCUCUAGCUAGCACCGUGUCGGAUGAGUAAUUUGGUACGGUAACGGCUUCCCGAGGCGGAGAUGCGUAGCCGUACUGAGAGGGUGAGCCGGCACGCGAGAGCUGAGGCCCGGACCGGACUCCUACGGCAGGCCGCAGUACGGAAUGUGGCGGAAGGGGCGAAUACUGGACAGAGCAAGGCCGCGUGAGUGAUGGAGGUCUUCGGAUCGUAAAACUCUUUUAUUAGGGAAGAACAAAUGUGUAAGGAAGUAGGCACUUCGUGACGGUACCUAGUCAGAAAGCCACGGCUAACUACGUG
rnacentral:rRNA from 1 species